GGUUCCUGUCCUGAGACCACAGCAGGAUGUGCCUUGGACAAAGGCUUGGACUCCUGGAUCAUCUGGUGACUUCAAAUAUAUGGUCUCAGGGUGGUGAACCUCUUCUCUGAAUUCCUAACCUGUGAGCUUAUGAUGAUGGUGCCUGUCAAUUAACUGAACAACACUGGU